rnacentral:rRNA from 1 species
AACGUAGGAGACAAACGUUAUCCGGAGUUACUGGGCGUAAAGGGCGUGUAGGUGGUUACGUAAGUCUGGCGUGAAAUUUCUCGGCUUAACCGAGGCAGGUCGUCGGAUACUGCGAGACUAGAGGACGGUAGAGGCGUGUGGAAUUCCGGGUGUAGUGGUGAAAUGCGUAGAGAUCGGGAGGAAGGCCGGUGGCGGAGGCGGCGCUCUGGAACGUUACUGACGCUGAGACACGAAAGCGUGGGGGGCAAACAGG